UACGAAGGGGGCUAGCGUUGCUCGGAAUCACUGGGCGUAAAGCGCACGUAGGCGGACUCUUAAGUCGGUGGUGAAAUCCUGGAGCUCAACUCCAGAACUGCCUUCGAUACUGAGAGUCUCGAGUCCGGGAGAGAUGAGUGGAACUGCGAGUGUAGAGGUGAAAUUCGUAGAUAUUCGCAAGAACACCAGUGGCGAAGGCGGCUCACUGGCCCGGUACUGACGCUGAGGUGCGAAAGCGUGGGGAGCAAACAGG
rnacentral:rRNA from 1 species